UACGGGGGGAGCAAGCGUUGUUCGGAUUUACUGGGCGUAAAGGGCGCGUAGGCGGUCAGCACAAGUCAGUUGUGAAAUCUCCGGGCUUAACUCGGAAAGGUCAACUGAUACUGUGCGACUAGAGUGCAGAAGGGGCAACUGGAAUUCUCGGUGUAGCGGUGAAAUGCGUAGAUAUCGAGAGGAACACCUGCGGCGAAGGCGGGUCUCUGGACAGUUCCUGACACUGAGACACGAAGGCCAGGGGAGCAAACGGG
rnacentral:rRNA from 1 species